AACGAACGCUGGCGGCAGGCUUAACACAUGCAAGUCGAACGGGUGUAGCAAUACAUCCGUGGCAGACGGGGGAGUAACACGUGGGAACCUUCCUAGGGGUACGGAACAACUCAGGGAAACUUGAGCUAAUACCGUAUACGUCCGUGAGGAGAAAGAUUUAUCGCCCUUAGACGGGCCCGCGUCGGAUUCGCUAGUUGGUGGGGUAACGGGCUACCAAGGCGACGUUCCGUAGCUGGUCUUAGAGGAUGAUCAGCCACACUGGGACUGAGACACGGCCCAGACUCCUACGGGAGGCAGCAGUGGGGAAUCUUGGACAAUGGGCGCAAGCCUGAUCCAGCCAUGCCGCGUGAGUGAAGAAGGUCUUCGGAUUGUAAAGCUCUUUUGCCAGGGACGAUAAUGACGGUACCUGGAGAAUAAGCCCCGGCAAACUUCGUGCCAGCCGCCGCCGUAA
rnacentral:rRNA from 1 species